UAUUUUCAGUUUCUGAAAUUCCGCUAACAAUUGAAUCCAAUGACAGAGAAAUUAAAAACGAAAAUUUAAAUUCUGACAAAGAAUACUUUUCGAAUAUGGCGUCAAAACUUCUAAGACAUCUGUGGUGAAUACAGCAGAGGAAAUGGUGAAUGGAAAACAUUAUAUCAUAAUGCAGAAUUAUUAUUGGGACUGUGGCGUUUCUUUGUACAGAAACUAUGAUAAUCGUAACUAGAAAAUCGUCAUCAAGUAGAGUGGUAAAUAAUUCUCCGACCGCAACAUUACAAAUGUUGUGUCACAGACGAAUAAAAAAAUUUAUACCCAGUGCAGGAUUGUAUACGGUUUUGCUAUCAGAGCAAGUAAUAACCUAUUUAAUAUUACUAACCAAUGCAUUCGAAAAUAGAAGUCAUUUUCUGAACACUUUCCGCGCCAAAUGUUCUGCAGGAUAAAACUUACUGUGUCUAUCAAUUUAAAUCGGAACGAAAACCAUUGAAGGCAAAUCGUUGAAAGCCUCAUUAAUAUCAGUAAUGCAUAGAGAGGAAGGUGAUGUUCUGUAAUAUAUAAUCAUUGUAUAGCUUUGUCUUGGAAACCUAAACGAAAGUCUUAGAUUUUCCAUUUCUGUUUGGAGAAGUUACAAUUUAGCCAUAAACAACACUACCGGAUUAAGUAUCCUAUAGUAUCCUACCACAAAAUAAAACAAGAU
rnacentral:lncRNA from 1 species